AUCUAGUUGACGAGUUCCAAAUAGGACGAAACGCGUCCUAGAU
rnacentral:hammerhead_ribozyme from 1 species